GAUGAAGAACGCAGCAAAAUGCGAUAAGUAAUGUGAAUUGCAGAAUUCAGUGAAUCAUCGAAUCUUUGAACGCACAUUGCGCCCGCUGGUAUUCCGGCGGGCAUGCCUGUUCGAGCGUCAUUUCAACCCUCAAGCCCCCGGGUUUGGUGUUGGGGAUCGGCUCUGCCCUUCUGGGCGGUGCCGCCCCCGAAAUACAUUGGCGGUCUCGCUGCAGCCUCCAUUGCGUAGUAGCUAACACCUCGCAACUGGAACGCGGCGCGGUCAUGCCGUAAAACCCCAACUUCUGAAUGUUGACCUCGGAUCAGGUAGGAAUACCCGCUGAACUUAAGCAUAUCAAUAAGCGGAGGA
rnacentral:misc_RNA from 1 species